GAAAGGAAUCUAAAUUAUAUUCAAUUGACAAAGUAAUCCAACAUAUGUUUUUGAGACUUAGAAAUGUCGAGUGCGGUGAAAUUGAACUCCGGUUGCAGUGGAUAGAAAUCCCAGGCUCCAGGGGUUUGUUGUGUGACUUAUAGUUGUCAAGUUAUGUUGUACAGAACUAAUUGAUUUGUUUCUUAGUUAAAAUACUCGUAAAUCGAAGUCAGAUGCAGAAUCCAUUUUACGUUCCUCCUUGAAAAUUGUUAUCCAAGAAGAAGUUACAGUUGAUUUUACUUUCGUAAGGGUCUUGUGUAAGAAUGUAAAAUUGCCUUAUUGUCGAAUACUGUAAGUAUUGCAGAUUUCCA
rnacentral:lncRNA from 1 species